rnacentral:misc_RNA from 1 species
GGGGGAGAGAAAUGUUGCAGGGGAAUCGAGAAUUUGGAGCUUUGGGGACCGGCUGUGAAGUGGGGUUCUGAAUUUAAGUUCAAUUCCUCCGAGUUGUGUUGUGAGGCUUGUAAAGCUAUGUGUAGUGGGAAUGAUGGGCCUUGCUUGUGUGAUACUUGGGUGUAUUGUGGAAAUCGAGAGGAAUGUGGUCCUAAAUAUGGUGAAUGCUGGCUGAAGAAACAGAAGGAUACAUUGGCUCCUGAUCGGCAGGAAGGAGGGACAAGAAGUAUUUGGACUUCUGGGAUUAUCUUCGGAAGAGGAGAAGGAAUCGUUGCGCUGGAGACGGAUCAUGGCACCCUUCAUAUCAAGCUCUUCUCUGACUGUGCUCCCCAUUCAGUUGCUUACAUUCUCGAGUUAUUGGGAUUACGACAUUGUGCUGGUUGUCACUUUUACCGUGCAGAGGGA